rnacentral:lncRNA from 1 species
AAAUAACUUCAGAAUUGACCAUCUGCCCAUCCCUAUGCAAAGUUCUUUGCAUUCACCAGUGUUGGGAACUUAACCAAAGAAAGGCUACGAACAGAGUGAUAAAUGAUGGGUCAAGAGGAGAAUAUUAGGCCACAUCUUUGCUGGAUUUAAGUUAUCACAAAACAUCUAUUAAGCAGCACAACUGAGCAUGAAGGAAAAAUAACUACAGAUCUACUUCUGCUGGAGAAGAUAAUCAAGAGGCAAGAAAUCAGGUAAAUCUUCAUCCCCUGUAUAUUUAUAAAUAAAAUAGGAAUAAUCCCCAUGGUCACUGGGAUGGAUUUUGAAGGUUAUGUCUUAAUAAUAGUGACUAAC